AAACGAUUUUUCGCCCGGUUCCACGGCAGAUCUGCGUCAGUGGAGGAAAGAUCUUGAAGGAAUUUUGGUAAUUCCUGUGGAAUGAAGUCACAACAAAGUUCACUUACUUAAGAGAAAUGUAUUCUUUCUGGGGCACUCAGUCAUUUGAAGUGGCUCUUGCUAAUAGCUCCCAUUUUACUAUGCUACUGUCAAAAGGCAUAAUGCAGUAUUUGUGUGCAAGGAUACAAAAGUGCUUGAACCAGGCUGGUAGUGGCACACCCAGUUGAACACACACAGGCUACAAUACAAGUGCCCAGCUCCACCUGCAGGAGGGAAAUCUUCACAAGUGGUGAAGCAGGUCUUCAGAAUCCUGCUUAGCUCUAGCUGAUGGUGGUGCUGGAGACAGAAACUGUGACUUCCGGAGCCUCUGCCAUCAGGUUCCAGAUGCUACUGUGAUGCCAACCGGACUUCCCUGGGCAGAAGACCCCACCAAUGUACCCUGGAGCCCCGCUUCCCCAGAGCCCUGCCCCACCAGGGAAAGAAAGAGGCAGGCUGGGUGUAUGGAUCGAUCUGCCAACGCCCACGUUCAGCUUUAGUCUAAUCAUCCUGAGGUCAUAACCACACAUUGAAGAAAAGAUUCAACAUGCAAACUUUGUUAUGGAUGGCAAAAAGGUAGAAUUACUCACUUCAUUGGUUUAAGGAUUUUAAUGGCAUUCAUGAUUACUGAAGCGGACCCUACAGUAAUCCAUUAAAUAAUGCACCAUUUGAGUCAUUCAAUCAAGACAAGCAGUACAGUUAAUAUGAAAUAAUGUACAAAGCUCUAGGGGGUAACUGAGUGCUUGCCGAGUAGGCAUAAUGCUGAUUACUGAUAUUCAAUUCUCUUAUCGGUUUAUUUACCAUAAAAGGCAAGGCAAUUACAAUUCAGUGAAGUGUGAGAACUGCUGGAGAACAUUCUUGUUUGUAUAUAAUAUACUUAGCAUGUGAGAACUGUGUGGCAUCUUAAAAUUUUGUAUUCUCUCUUUGGAAGGUCGUUUGUGUCAGUUAAAUUAUUUAUAUAAAGUCCUGUCAGUUAGCAUCAGUAAAUUUAAGACAGACCUUGGUUUCAGCCCUUCUCACUUCAGCACCAAGCAGAAAAAUCUUUGCUCAUUUCUUUUUAAAAAAAAUAUUUAUUUAUUUAUUCCCUUUUGUUGUCCUUGUUUCUUUUUAUUGUUGUAGUCACUAUUGUUGUUGUCGUUGUUAGAUAGAACAGAGAGAAAUCAAGAGAGAAGGGGAAGACAGAGGGGGGAGAGAAGGAUAGACACCUGCAGACCUGCUUCACCACUUGUGAAGCGACUCCCCUGCACGUGGGGAGCCAGGGGCUCAAACCGGGAUCCUUAUGCCAGUCGUUGCGUUUUGUGCCACCUGCGCUUAACCCAUUGCGUUACCACCUGACUCCUGCUCAUUUCUUUAUAAAAUAGUAAAACCUAAGGGUUAUUUUCUUUUUUAAAAUUUUAUUAUUAUUAUUAUUUUGCCUCCAGGGUUAUUGCUGGGACUCAGUGCCUGCACCAUGAAUUCACUACUCCUGGAAGCCAUUUUCCCCCCUCUUUUGUUGUCCUUGUUGUUGUAGCCUUGUUGUGGUUAUUAUUGUUGAUGUUAUUCAUUGUUGGAUAGGACAGAGAGAAAUGGAGAGAGGAGGGCAAGCUAGAGAGGGGGAGAGAAAGACAGACACCUGAAGGCUUGCUUCACAG